rnacentral:rRNA from 1 species
GACGAAGGAUGCAAGCGUUAUCCGGAUUCAUUGGGUUUAAAGGGAGCGUAGGUGGCCUUAUAAGUCAGUGGUGAAAUCUCUCAGCUUAACUGAGAAAUUGCCAUUGAUACUGUAGGGCUUGAGUAUAGAUGCCGUUGGCGGAAUAUGACAUGUAGUGGUGAAAUACAUAGAGAUGUCAUAGAACACCGAUUGCGAAGGCAGCUGACGAAACUAUAACUGACACUGAGGCUCGAAAGUGCGGGGAUCAAACAGG